CCUUUUAUACUUAGAUUUUUUAAAACUCUUAAAAAUAAAUUAGUAAGAGUUAUUUCCCCUCCCCCAGAUACUUGAGAAGUUUCUCUUAUUUGGUCUCAGAUUUAUGACAUCUUCCUAACUUUAAAAAACUGAGUAUCUCUGCAUCUAUGGGGAAAUGAGACCAAAAGGAGUGUCUUGUUUACCUUGAGAUCACAUGGUGAUGCAAACAGAAUCAGAUAUCUUACUAGUCCCUGAAAAUGGAGGUGUCUGACCACUAAAAGAUUAGUCUGCAACACCAGUCUGUUUAGAGAAAGGUUAGAGAUAACAAAAUACUAUAAAACCGUAAGAUAUAGGAAAUUAUAAAAAUUAUUUGAAUGGAGGGAGAGUGGAAAUUAACUUACAUUUUGUCCUUGCCUCUUUAGAACAUGAUUUCAAUUCAGUGCUACCAACAGCUGGAGGCAGUGUUUCUUUAAGUGUUAGUCUCUCUACCUCUGCCUUAGAAUCACGUGGAGUCCAGAGGAACACCCAAAUGAGUCAGACUGUCUCUGUUCUCAAAAAGCAUAUGGUUAGAGAAUAGACAUGGUAUGCACAAAGAGGGAGAGAUUCAUUCCUUACAGGACUGAGGAGACAUCUUUAGGACCUAGCAUUUGAGGCAAGCUUUGAAGGGACUGGGGAAGGAGGGCUGGUGUCAGUCAUAGUCAGGAAUAUUUAGAAAAAUGUAUUUGACCUCUGCUGAACCUACACCUGAGGUGGCGCCUAAGGUUCUCUGUACACACCUUGUAGUGAAGUGCUAGCUGCCAGGUUAGACCUACUUGAAUUCAGAACCUGGCUGUACCACUGCUACUAGCUUUGUGACCUAAGACAAGGUGCUUUAUCAUUUCCUCAUUUGCAACCAGGCCAAAAUCAUGCCUCACUCUGUUGGCUCGUUGUGAAGGAUAAAUGAAAAUGCGUGCAGCUCUGCCUGUUCAUAGCCAUGAUGGGAAAAGAAUUCAAAUGAAGUCUGUUACAGUGUGAUUUGUCCCACUGAAGAAGUUGAGCAGGUCACGAUGGUUGUCUUUCCUGAAAUUAAAAAAAAAAAAAAAAGGAAUCGGGAAGCUCUGGAUGAGUAAUAAAACUGCCAUCUGGUCUUAUAUCUCUGCUUUUCUAGGGAGGCUGUCUGUCCUCAGAAGUCCAGUGGAAGCAAGUCAGAACUCUGUCCUGCAAAAAAAUGCAGUAUGUGUUGACACAAAUGUAAUAUAAUCUCCUUAGCCCCUGGUAAAUUGUGGCAACUCAAGACACACUGAACAAGAUCUUGGUUAAAGGAAAACAUCUUUUAGAAAGAGAGCUUCUUGAUUUACUUUACUCGAGAAGCUCAGAGCAUUUCUCAGUUAGCUUGCUCUUCCUUUCAAAUCCCCAGGCUCGACCUGGGCCUGUUUUCCUAAGUAAGAAAUGUCUCUGCCCGGACUCCUGAGCAAAUAUAUGCCAGAGGAGUAUCAUUAACCGAGCUGAUACGGGAACUAAACAAACAGGGUGAAUCAGCUUGGAUUCACGAAGGCUGGCAGCAAGUCAAUUUCUUUCUCUAUUUCUCUACUUGUUUUUUCAGGGUACGUGAUGACUAGAGACUGGUAUGUCCUGAUAGCAGAAAACAGGAAGCAGAUCAAAGCGAGAGGCUGUUUGUCUCCUGACCUGCCCCUGGAUAACAAGAAGCAGUUUGUGUUGACUCGGACUUGCGUCCUAUAAGAUUUCACAACAUACAGAAUACUGAAUGCAGUGGGGAGACAAGCUUUAGUGCAGAACUGGACGCCAGAAAAGCAUAUAGUCUCCUGAAGUUUCUUCUACUCCUGUGAGUUUCCAUGAUGCCCAAGAGUUAAUUCCAGUGGCGUUUCUAGUGUGCUUCUGCCACCUGCUGCUUUCCGCAACCCAUUACAGUGAUCAGCCAAGAAAGAAAAACACUUGGCAAGGUGGUUAUUUCUCUGGAGAUGCGUUCUAGUAUAGGAGGAGGAUGAGAGGGAAACAUAUUUCAGAUCCAUGGAAGAUACACUGUGUGUAUGAGAGAGAGACAGAGAGACAGAGAUCUUUCUACUAGAUUACAUCACUAUUAAAAUUACAUUUUAUGACUCGGACUUGCAACCUGGCAAAGGAGAAGAGUGGAGACCUUGGUCUUAGUGCUGACGACAAUAAGCUCCUUAAGAAAGGUUUUAAAACAUGUUUUGAUACUUCCUCUCCUUCCCUGUUCGUUAAGCGUGUUCCCUCCGACUUAUGCCUAGAAAGCUCAGGGUGGCUUGUUAAAUGUUGUUUCUUUAAAUUAAAUCGCCUGCCGUGUUUCCAUGACUCUUUUUCUUUCUCCACAUUAUCAUUCCAGACAACAUUCCAUUUGUUCAGUGCCUCAAACUAUUUCUAUGGUCUGCUG